rnacentral:rRNA from 1 species
UCCGCCUACGGGGGGCAGCAGUGGGGAAUAUUGCACAAUGGGGGGAACCCUGAUGCAGCGACGCCGCGUGAGUGAAGAAGUAUUUCGGUAUGUAAAGCUCUGUCAGCAGGGAAGAAGAAAAUGACGGUACCUGACUAAGAAGCCCCGGCUAACUACGUGCCAGCAGCCGCGGUAAUACGUAGGGGGCAAGCGUUAUCCGGAUUUACUGGGUGUAAAGGGAGCGUAGACGGUGCAGCAAGUCUGAUGUGAAAGGUCGGGGCCCAUCCCCGGGACUGCAUUGGAAACUGUUGAACUGGAGUACGGGG